UCUGCCCUCCUUCCAGACCCUGUUCCAGGUCAGGUGAGGAGGAGAAUCCAGCUCUCACAGGCAGGCUGCUCACCCCAAGCCAAGCAGCUGACCAGACAAAGUGCUGUGCCUGAGCCAAGCAGCUUGUACUGGUGCAGGCUUCAAGCUCUGGAAACAGCAAAAAUCUCCCAGAGGAUGAAAGGAUCACAGACCUCCAGCUGCUGGAAUUCCUCUGCUCUUUGAUACGCUCCGCUUCCCAGUGCAUUUGCUCCCAGCAGAGCCCCAAGCAGCUGGACAGGCUGGUUCCCACACAGCAGGAGCAUGUGUGAGACACCGAGGCAGAGCCCGGGCUGACUCAGCAGCACCAACAACCCCAGCCUGGCACAGCCACUGCAGUAAUCCCAGCUCCUGAGGUCUGUGACCAUCCCUGUUGCAUCUAUCUGCUCCACACAUUGCUCUGCUGGUGAGAACAGAAUCACAGAAUAUCCAGAGCUGGAAGGGACCCACAAGGAUCACCAACUCCAAUUCCUGAUCCUGCACACGACACCCCAAGAAUCCCACUGUGACAGGUGCCAAAGCCACAGGAAAAGAGCAGCUUCUGCUUCAUCAGCUGCUCCCCAGGAGCCCUGCAGCUGCUCUGAUGUGCUCCUGGUGCAGAGGAGAGCACAGUGUCCAUCCCAGGGUUUGAGUUAGAACGUGGGAUCAGGUGUGACACAACAUGACACAGAACUGCCAGAUGUUGAUGUUCCCUUGUUGCCUGGAAAGGCUGAGCUGGAACAGAGACUAGACAGAGCAAGAAGAAUGA